rnacentral:lncRNA from 1 species
CUCACCUCAGAAGUCUGAGUGCUAACUCUACGGGGCUCUCCUUCAAGUUCUUUGGAUCUGAUAAGUGGAGCUCUCCCUACUAUUAUCAUUUCUGGGUUACCUCAGUGUCCUCUUUUUCAGGCCUUCACAGCAUGUGUAAGCUGAUUUCUGUCCUAAAUCCCUCUAUUGCAAUACCUAGUGUGUUUCCAUUUUCCUGGUUGGAUCCUGACUGAUAGAACGAGGAAGAAGAUCAUAGCUGGGUGCUGGCAACAUGAAGAUCUUUGAUGACGUGACAAGAGCAGCCUCCGCAGUGUGAUAGGAAAUGAAACCUGAGCGCAGCGAGGGGGGCAGAGAUGUUGAAAUGAGAAAGUCAUGACAACCUCCACAGAUACCUCUUUCCAGAGGCUUUGCUGUGAAGACUGAAACAACUGGGAACUUAUGUGGGAUGAAGAGCUGCCUCCGGUGGUCUCGGCAGUGUCUCAAGUCUCCCGUCGGGUAGAUUCUUGCAGAAUGAGGCUGGAAGUGCCACUCAGAGGAUCUGAUUCUAACCUCUGCAUAAGCAAAAACCCAGGCCUUGUGUUCCUCAAUUGGGGCCUGGGCUCUCAUAUGCCACUUAUUUUUUCUUAAGUGGAGCAAAGAUUGUGUCAAUAAAAGCAAAGAAUACUUGUUUCAUAUAUAUUUAAAGCUGACGAGUACUUUGUAUAUCACAUUAAGUAGGAAAUUGCUCCAGCCACACUUUGGUAUAUGCGAAUUUGUCAAUCCAUGCUUCUUGUUGAAAAUUUCCUAAGUCAUUGUCCUAAAACAUUUUAAGUAGGAAAGGAUUAUUUGUCAUGAUUGCUGAAAAACUAUCUUUGAGGGAGCACAGCGUCAGAGGUCCUUUAAUUCACUUGGUGGUUAAAAUGUGGGCAAGCACUGAAAGUAAUAUGAAUUCAGACUAAAACAAGAGAUGUGAGUCCAUUCUACUCUCUACUAGACAGAUGCCAUUUAGAGCAGUGCCCAACCUGGGUUUUCUGGACCUCUGAGGAG